rnacentral:rRNA from 1 species
GACGAACGCUGGCGGCGUGUUUAACACAUGCCAGUCGAACGGAAAGGCCCUGCUUGCAGGGUACUCGAGUGGCGAACGGGUGAGUAACACGUGGGUGAUCUGCCCUGCACUUCGGGAUAAGCCUGGGAAACUGGGUCUAAUACCGGAUAGGAGCCAUUUUUAGUGUGAUGGUUGGAAAGUUUUUUCGGUGUAGGAUGAGCUCGCGGCCUAUCAGCUUGUUGGUGGGGUAAUGGCCUACCAAGGCGGCGACGGGUAGCCGGCCUGAGAGGGUGGACGGCCACAUUGGGACUGAGAUACGGCCCAGACUCCUACGGGAGGCAGCAGUGGGGAAUAUUGCACAAUGGGCGCAAGCCUGAUGCAGCGACGCCGCGUGGGGGAGGACGGCCUUCGGGUUGUAAACUCCUUUCGCUAGGGACGAAGCUUUUUGUGACGGUACCUAGAUAAGAAGCACCGGCUAACUACGUG